UACGAAGGGUGCAAGCGUUAAUCGGAAUUACUGGGCGUAAAGCGUGCGCAGGCGGUUUGUUAAGUCCGUUGUGAAAUCCCCGAGCUCAACUUGGGAAUUGCAAUGGAUACUGGCAAGCUGGAGUAUGGUAGAGGAAGGUGGAAUUCCCGGUGUAGCAGUGAAAUGCGUAGAGAUCGGGAGGAACACCAGUGGCGAAGGCGGCCUUCUGGACCAAUACUGACGCUCAUGCACGAAAGCGUGGGGAGCAAACAGG
rnacentral:rRNA from 1 species